AGAGAGAGACAUGCGCGCAUAUCAAUAAGCGGAGGAAAAGAAACUAACAAGGAUUCCCCUAGUAACGGCGAGUGAAGCGGGAAGAGCUCAAAUUUGAAAUCUUAAAGGGUUUCCCUUUACGAAUUGUAGUUUAAAGAAGUGUUUUCUGUUGAGGUUUUGGUAAAAGUUCUUUGGAAUAGGACAUCAUAGAGGGUGAGAAUCCCGUAUUUGACCUUUACUUUCAACUUUGUGAUACACUUUCAAAGAGUCGGAUUGUUUGGGAAUGCAGUCCAAAAUGGGUGGUAAAUUUCAUCUAAAGCUAAAUAUUGGCGAGAGACCGAUAGCGAACAAGUACCGUGAGGGAAAGAUAAAAAGAACUUUGAAAAGAGAGUUAAACAGUACGUGAAAUUGUCAAAAGGGAAGCGUUUGACACCAGUGUUGUUUUUCUGAAAAUCAAUUAAAGAACUGUUUAUGCUAAGUUGUUUAGACUUUAUCAGCUAACUGUUUAGUUUUGAGCUUUUCUUUAAUGCACUUUUCAGUUAACAAGUCAACAUCAAUUUCUUUUGCUGUAAAAAAGCUUGAGGAAGGUGGCUUGAGAUUCGUCUUAAGUGUUUAUAGCCUCUUGCCUAUGCAGUCGGAGAGAUUGAGGUCUGCAGCGUAGAUCCUUCGGGGCUAAAUGCAUUUGUGCUAAGUUAUAGCAUUUUAUAGACAACUUGUUGACUUAUGAUUUGUCUUGUAGCUUACUCGCUUAUGUUAUUUUACCUACGCUUAGGAUGUUGACGCAUGAGAUAUACGC
rnacentral:rRNA from 1 species